rnacentral:rRNA from 1 species
AUGGCCGGAGCUGCUGGGAGUCGGAGGAAGAGCGGCGGCGGCGAUCCAAAGAAGAAGAAGCAGCAACAAGAGCCAUGGCCGGAAGAGAAAUCGCUCAACCAAUAUGCUCUCGCGCGGACAUACCUUCUCGGGGGGGUAACCCUAAUAGGAUACCUGGCGCUUACGUGGUCGACGGUAGUCCUCCUGGGUGGCUUCGUCACCGCGCUGGGGAAGAAGGAUUUUUGGUGCCUCACAUUUAUUAGCAUGAUACAGGCAGCCGGGUCAGUAAUGUCUUCCUAUCUCCGUAUAAAUUCUCCAUCAUCACGGAGAGCAACCACAAGGCGAUCAGCAGCAGCAGCCGAGGAACUGACAAGGAUGAUAUCAUCAACAUAA